CCUACGGGAGGCAGCAGUGAGGAAUAUUGGUCAAUGGACGAGAGUCUGAACCAGCCAAGUAGCGUGAGGGAUGACUGCCCUAUGGGUUGUAAACUUCUUUUAUAUGGGAGUAAAAUGUUCCACGUGUGGGCUUUUGUAUGUACCCUAUGAAUAAGGAUCGGCUAACUCCGUGCCAGCAGCCGCGGUAAUACGGAGGAUGCGAGCGUUAUCCGGAUUUAUUGGGUUUAAAGGGAGCGUAGGUGGUGUGUUAAGUCAGUUGUGAAAGUUUGCGGCGCAACCGUAAGAUUGCAGUUGAAACUGGCAGUCUUGAGUACAGGAGAGGUGUGCGGAAUUCGUGGUGUAGCGGUGAAAUGCUUAGAUAUCACGAAGAACUCCGAUUGCGAAGGCAGCUCACUGGACUGCAACUGACACUGAGGCUCGAAAGUGUGGGUAUCAAACAGGAUUAGAUACCCGAGUAGUC
rnacentral:rRNA from 1 species